UACAGAGGGGGCAAGCGUUAUUCGGAAUUAUUGGGCGUAAAGGGCGCGUAGGCGGCUUGGCAAGUGGAAGGUGAAAUCCCUCGGCUUAACCGAGGAACUGCCCUCCAAACUGCUUGGCUUGAGACCGGGAGAGGUGAGUGGAACUGCGAGUGUAGAGGUGAAAUUCGUAGAUAUUCGCAAGAACACCAGUGGCGAAGGCGGCUCACUGGCCCGAUACUGACGCUGAGGCACGAAAGCGUGGGGAGCAAACAGG
rnacentral:rRNA from 1 species